AAAUAUGUUUCAAGAGUUAUUAAUACGACUGACCGUUCCUAGAGCAAGUGACAAAGAAUUUGGUAAUUGAUAUCCGAAAUUUAAAUUCGAAUCCUAAUUGAUUCACAUUUUUUGCUAAGUUUAUUUAUAAAUAAAAUAAACGAGACGAAUAGCGUACUACCUAUCUUUGAAAAAAGAAAGAAAAGAAAAGGAGUUAUUAAUACGUUCACAAACUCAUAUAAUUUCUUACAUUACGAGGACAAAUUA
rnacentral:lncRNA from 1 species